rnacentral:ncRNA from 1 species
CAUGAACAUCAAAAGAGAAUUGGGUUAAUAUUCCCAAACCAGGACAUGGUGGUGGAAAACAAUGUUAGGAAAUCUGGAGAUGUCAUCGGGAGCCUGGGAAGAGUUAUCUUUUCAUUUUAACGACUUUCCCACCCUGAAAUUGGUUCAACCGAAGAUAGGGUCCAACAUCUGAAAGAGCACCACACGUCUUGCGGUGUUUGGUGCCCCCUCGACGACCAUUGUAAAUAUGGUGAACCGAGUACCAUCCAUGCCCGAUCGUACUCAUAUCUGCCUCCUUGGAUUUUUCAAUGUCCACUAGGUUAGCGAUCU